AUGGCAGACGUUCACACUGAGCCAGCCUACCAAAAGCAGCUGACCAUCUUUCAAAACAAGAAGAGAGUCCUGUUGGGAGAAACUGGCAAGGAGAAGCUCCCUCGGUAAUACAAGAACAUAGGUCUGGGUUUCAAGACUCACAAAGAGGCCAUUGAGGGCACCUACAUUGACAAGAAAUGCCCCUUCACUGGUAACAUCUCCAUCCGAGGGCGGAUCUUGUGCGGUGUGGUGACCAAGAUGAAGAUGCAGAGGACCAGUGUCAUCUGCCGAGACUAUCUCCACUCCAUCCACAAGUACGAUUGCUUUGAAAAGAGCCACAAGUACAAUCACUUUGAGAAGAACAUGUCUGUGCACCUGUCCCCCUACUUCAGGGAUGUCCAGAUUGGUGAUAUUGUCACAGUGGGCGAAUGCCAGCCCCUGAGCAAGAAGGUGUGCUUCAACCUGCUCAAAGUCACCAAGGCUACUAGCACCAAGAAGCAGUUCCAGAAGUUCUGAGACUGGAUAUGUGCCCACGCCCCCAAACGAAAUAAAGUUAUUUUUUUAUUAAAAAAAAAAAAAAACUAGCUAGAAAA